GUGGGCUUAGGAUAGAAAACACCAAGAACCUUCAAAGUUCUAGACAGAAGUGCAAGCCUUCUAGCCCCCG
rnacentral:tRNA from 1 species